UUAGUGUGAUGUCCUGUGAAGUCGGUGAUAUGUUUCACUGACUGAAAUUGAGGCACAGAGCUGAAGAGCUGAUGAUGUUCCCCUAAAGCUGAAGCUCUUAAGCU